GUAGGUGGCAAGCGUUGUCCGGAAUUAUUGGGCGUAAAGCGCGCGCAGGCGGUUCUUUAAGUCUGAUGUGAAAGCCCACGGCUCAACCGUGGAGGGUCAUUGGAAACUGGAGAACUUGAGUACAGAAGAGGAAAGCGGAAUUCCACGUGUAGCGGUGAAAUGCGUAGAGAUGUGGAGGAACACCAGUGGCGAAGGCGGCUUUCUGGUCUGUAACUGACGCUGAGGCGCGAAAGCGUGGGGAGCAAACAGGGAUUAGAUACCCUGGUAGUCCACGCCGUAAACGAUGAGUGCUAAGUGUUAGGGGGGUUUCCGCCCCCUUAGUGCUGCAGCUAACGCAUUAAGCACUCCGCCUGGGGAGUACGGCCGCAAGGCUA
rnacentral:rRNA from 1 species